GAUGAACGCUGGCGGCGUGCCUAACACAUGCAAGUCGAGCGCGGUCCCUUUGGUGCUUGCACCAAAGACGACUGAGCGGCGGACGGGUGAGUAACGCGUGGGUAACCUGCCCUGUACAUAUGGAUAACAUGCUGAAAAGCAUACUAAUACAUAAUAACGUACAUUGAAGGCAUCUUCAGUGUAUCAAAGCGUUAGCGGUACAGGAUGGCCUCGCGUCCGAUUAGCUGGUUGGUGAGGUAACGGCCCACCAAGGCAACGAUCGGUAGCCGGACUGAGAGGUUGAACGGCCACAUUGGGACUGAGACACGGCCCAG
rnacentral:rRNA from 1 species